rnacentral:rRNA from 1 species
GCGAGGUCUUCGGACCUAGCGGCGGACGGGUGAGUAACACGUGGGUAACCUGCCUGUAAGAUUGGGAUAACUCCGGGAAACCGGAGCUAAUACCGGAUAACAUUUCGAACCGCAUGGUUCGAAAUUGAAAGAUGGCUUUUAGCUAUCACUUACAGAUGGACCCGCGGCGCAUUAACUAGUUGGUGAGGUAACGGCUCACCAAGGCAACGAUGCGUAGCCGACCUGAGAGGGUGAUCGGCCACACUGGGACUGAGACACGGCCCAGACUCCUACGGGAGGCAGCAGUAGGGAAUCUUCCGCAAUGGACGAAAGUCUGACGGAGCAACGCCGCGUGAACGAUGAAGGCCUUCGGGUCGUAAAGUUCUGUUGUUAGGGAAGAACAAGUACUAGAGUAACUGCUGGUACCUUGACGGUACCUAACCAGAAAGCCACGGCUAACUACGUGCCAGCAGCCGCGGUAAUACGUAAGUGGCAAGCGUUGUCCGGAAUUAUUGGGCGUAAAGCGCGCGCAGGUGGUUUCUUAAGUCUGAUGUGAAAGCCCACGGCUCAACCGUGGAGGGUCAUUGGAAACUGGGGAACUUGAGUGCAGAAGAGGAAAGUGGAAUUCCAAGUGUAGCGGUGAAAUGCGUAGAGAUUUGGAGGAACACCAGUGGCGAAGCGACUUUCUGGUCUGUAACUGACACUGAGGCGCGAAAGCGUGGGGAGCGAACAGGAUUAGAUACCCUGGUAGUCCACGCCGUAUACGAUGAGUGCUAAGUGUUAGAGGGUUUCCGCCCUUUAGUGCUGCAGCAAACGCAUUCAGC